rnacentral:rRNA from 1 species
GCAGUCGAACGAACUCUGGUAUUGAUUGGUGCUUGCAUCAUGAUUUACAUUUGAGUGAGUGGCGAACUGGUGAGUAACACGUGGGAAACCUGCCCAGAAGCGGGGGAUAACACCUGGAAACAGAUGCUAAUACCGCAUAACAACUUGGACCGCAUGGUCCGAGUUUGAAAGAUGGCUUCGGCUAUCACUUUUGGAUGGUCCCGCGGCGUAUUAGCUAGAUGGUGGGGUAACGGCUCACCAUGGCAAUGAUACGUAGCCGACCUGAGAGGGUAAUCGGCCACAUUGGGACUGAGACACGGCCCAAACUCCUACGGGAGGCAGCAGUAGGGAAUCUUCCACAAUGGACGAAAGUCUGAUGGAGCAACGCCGCGUGAGUGAAGAAGGGUUUCGGCUCGUAAAACUCUGUUGUUAAAGAAGAACAUAUCUGAGAGUAACUGUUCAGGUAUUGACGGUAUUUAACCAGAAAGCCACGGCUAACUACGUGCCAGCAGCCGCGGUAAUACGUAGGUGGCAAGCGUUGUCCGGAUUUAUUGGGCGUAAAGCGAGCGCAGGCGGUUUUUUAAGUCUGAUGUGAAAGCCUUCGGCUCAACCGAAGAAGUGCAUCGGAAACUGGGAAACUUGAGUGCAGAAGAGGACAGUGGAACUCCAUGUGUAGCGGUGAAAUGCGUAGAUAUAUGGAAGAACACCAGUGGCGAAGGCGGCUGUCUGGUCUGUAACUGACGCUGAGGCUCGAAAGUAUGGGUAGCAAACAGGAUUAGAUACCCUGGUAGUCCAUACCGUAAACGAUGAAUGCUAAGUGUUGGAGGGUUUCCGCCCUUCAGUGCUGCAGCUAACGCAUUAAGCAUUCCGCCUGGGGAGUACGGCCGCAAGGCUGAAACUCAAAGGAAUUGACGGGGGCCCGCACAAGCGGGGGAGCAUGUGGUUUAAUUCGAAGCUACGCGAAGAACCUUACCAGGUCUUGACAUACUAUGCAAAUCUAAGAGAUUAGACGUUCCCUUCGGGGACAUGGAUACAGGUGGUGCAUGGUUGUCGUCAGCUCGUGUCGUGAGAUGUUGGGUUAAGUCCCGCAACGAGCGCAACCCUUAUUAUCAGUUGCCAGCAUUAAGUUGGGCACUCUGGUGAGACUGCCGGUGACAAACCGGAGGAAGGUGGGGAUGACGUCAAAUCAUCAUGCCCCUUAUGACCUGGGCUACACACGUGCUACAAUGGAUGGUACAACGAGUUGCGAACUCGCGAGAGUAAGCUAAUCUCUUAAAGCCAUUCUCAGUUCGGAUUGUAGGCUGCAACUCGCCUACAUGAAGUCGGAAUCGCUAGUAAUCGCGGAUCAGCAUGCCGCGGUGAAUACGUUCCCGGGCCUUGUACACACCGCCCGUCACACCAUGAGAGUUUGUAACACCCAAAGUCGGUGGGGUAAC